UCUGUGGCAAUGGGGCAUUUAAAGAGAUCAAUUCAAGGAAUACAAAUAGAAGCCGCAUUCUUGGUUGAAGAGGACAACCUUCCCUGAUACAGAAGGACUGUUCUUUGGUCAAGGGUAUAUGAGUAGCUGCUAGAACCUCCAAACAAGCUCUCAAGAAAUACAAAUGGAUUGAAUAUUAGU
rnacentral:sRNA from 1 species